CCCUUCUAUCCGCAUCGUUGAUGAAGACUUCAAUUCUUUCAAGUUCAUCUUUCAAUUCUGCAAUUUCUUUUGGGACACCCCUAAUCAUGUUGAAUGCUUCCUUCAAGAGUGGAAGCAAGUGAUCACGGGCUAGUGGAAGCAAAUGAUGAUGAUUGAAGUUGGUGUGUCCUUUAUGAUAAAUUUCUGGGUCUGUAAUGUUUGGGGAAGUUUCUUAUACUUCCCAGUACAAUUUCUACCUAUUUGAUACUUAUGGUGAGUAGUACUUGAUACAAUUUUAAAUCCAAUCACUGCUAGAAAAUAUUUUAUGAGUGUUGUUGCUUUAAUUUGUAUUGUUAACUACUUUUAAAUUGUUUGUUAAAAUUAUUUUAAAUUCCAUUAAUUGUUAAAACAAUUUUUAUAAAAAGAAAUAAAAAACAAUUUAAAAACGUUUAAUUAAUUAAUUAAUUUUCGAAAAAUAAAAUUUAAAUUCUUUUUUACAAUUAUUUUAAUUAUUAAAUUUUAAUAUUUUGAUUUAUUUUAACAAAUAAAAAAUGUUUUUAAAAGAAAAAUCGUACACAAUUUGACAGGGGUUAACCCCUCGCACAGUCCCUGGCAUAUGAUGCUGACACAAUCUGCAAAAGUCUCGUCAAAUCUGCAAAAGUCUGUGUUGACUAGAAUGCGUCAGAAAAGCCUGCAAUCAUGCAGAUACACUUUGCCAGGGGUUCAGCCAGGGCCUACGCCAGGAGCGAAUUUGCCAGGAGCUAAAGCCCUGGCAGAGUCAUUUGCGACAAGCAGAUUUGCUGGUGAUUCAGCUCCUGGCAAAACCCCUGACAAACAUCCAUUUGCCACGGCUUUUGGCAUUUUGCUAGGGCUUCUGCCCCUGGCAAAAUGCAACAUUUCUUGUAGUGUUUAACGAUCUUUCGGUUGUCAAAAACUUUCUUGGCUAGAGUGGUUUUCCCCAGUCCUCCCAUUCCAAUAAUGGAGACAACUGUGCGAUCUGCUCUUCCCUCUACCAGCCAAUUAAUUAGUUUCUCUAUUGGCUCUUCAAAUCCCACAACAUCAGCUUCAUCCAUAUAAAAUGGAGCGUCUCGAAGGUUCUGCAAUAAUGAGGCAUUUCUGUUUGUUGCAGAACUACUUGAUGGUUUAUCCGAAGAAGAUUGGAUGUGGAAGCCAUGAUCUUUUUCACUUGUUUCUUUUAUUUCUCUAAUUCUGGAUUUGAUGUUCUGAAUCUUGUCAGCAAUUUGGAGACGAAGAAUCUUAGUUUUCACCAAGUCAAUAGCUCCAGUAGCACAUCCAGGAUCAGAAGAUUGUUGUUCCUCAAGAAAGAUAUAAUCAUCAAUGACAUCUUCAAUGUGAAAAGAUGCUUCUAUCAGCUGCUUGAUCAUGUCUUUGAUUUUCUUGUCUUCUACAUCAUCAGCUGUUCUAUCCACAUCGUUGAUGAAGACUUCAAUUCUUUCAAGUUCAUCUUUCAAUUCUUCAAUUUCUUUUGGGACACCCCUAAUCAUGUUGAAUGCUUCCUUCAAGAGUGGAAGCAAGUGAUCACGGGCUAGUGGAAGCAAAUGAUCACAAGCGCAGGAAAAUGCAGCGUCACACAUUUUAUCACACAUUUUGUUGUAUCUUUGAUUUUAAUUUGCUACUAGCAUUGUGAGUGAGAUGAAUGAUGAAGAAAGCUAUUAGUCCUUUCAUGAUUUAUAUCGCAUAAAGUCCUUUCAUUGUUCAAAUAAUAAUAACAAUGAAUAGUUUUUUAAAUGGCAAAGUUAUCAUAUAUAGAAAAGAGUAGAAAGAGUACUCUAACUCAAUACAAACAACACCCAAACCUCUGGAGGAAGAAAGGCCAGUAGAAGAAGCAAAGUUCACACAACAUAUUAAUUUCUUACAAUCAUUUCAAAGGAAAUAUCUCACAACAUAUAUUAUACAUCAUUAUUAAACAACUCAAUUUUCUUGAAUAAACUGACAAAUAACUAUACAUAACACUUUUUUUAAAUUGAGGAAGGGAAGUUCCAAAUCAAGAACAGAAAGAAGCAAUGCUGAUCUAGAAGUUCACUUGAAGAAAUGUGAAUCUCAAAUCCACUGAUGGCCAUCACCUGCAGUUCACACCAAAUUAUUAAUAUAAAACACAAUAAUGCAAUGAUUAGACAAUUGAAUGUAGGCAUGGAAUGGUAACCCUUAAGAUUUAGAUCAAAGCCCAAAAGUGAGUCAUAUGUAAAAUUAGAAUAAAUAAAUAAAAAAGUUAUUCAUAAGAAAAGUAACAGAGGCAAAAGUCAAGAAUUUGUUCGUUUUUUUUUUUACAAGAUGUCGAGAAAUUAUUUUACUAAAAAUCACAUAAUGUUUGUAUUUUGAUGACUCAACAAUAAAUAUUACUACAAAUAUUUUUUUCUUCAAAUUGUAGGGAAGCGAAUGCGUACCUUCAAAAUAUUAUUUCUACAAAGGGCACUUGCUUGAAUAUCCAAUGCUCUUUUCCUUCAUUAGGAGCAAUGCUCUGUUUAAGUUCAUAACUCAUCAAAUGAAGACAGAGAACUUCAAGCUUGUGUAAGUGUUGAAUGCCAGUUGGUAACAUCAUCAGUUCGGGGAUGGCUUUCAAAGUGAGCUUUCUCAGAGAACCCAAUGCACCUUCGUCAAUAAGGAUGUGACUCAACUUAAAGAAAUCAAAAAUAGCCAGGUUCUUCAAAUUCAUAAACCAUCCAUCUUCAAAAUGUAACCUCUCCAAUGUGUUUUCAACACUAAAAUCACCGGAGAUUUCAAGGGACAACAAGUUUGGCAUACUUUUGAGUAAUUUCAUUGCAUCAUUCCCUUCCUUCGUAAUCGUCACCUUCAACUUAACGAGAUAUUGGAGUUUUGAAAUCCACUCAGGCAAUUUCAAUAAAUACCCUAUAAGUUUAACACGUUGAAGCUUUGGUGGGGGUGAAUUCAAAUCCAUAUCAAUGAAUGUGUUAUAUCUGAUUCCUCUAAUAUUUAGUUUCUCCAAUUGUUGCAUCUUGUUGAUUGAGGAAGAUAUAGCACUCAUAUAUUUACUCCUAACACCGACCAAGCUUAAUUCCCUAAGCUGCUUUAGCUUUCCUAGCUCUUCUAUUAACUCUACCACUCUAUUAUCAUCUUCAUCUUCAUCAUCGUCUAAAUAAACCUCAUUUAGAGUUUGUAGGGAUGUCAUGCCUCCAAUACCAUCCUUCAACUGAAUCAGAGACAUUUGAUAGCCUAUAAAAUGGCGUAGCUUUUUAAGCUUGCAAAUCUCCUUGGGCAUAUUACAAUAUUCAAAGCCUACAUCUCUUAAAUUCAUUUGAUUCAGCACAGUACGAUUUUGAAUAUUUGGAGAUUUUAAAUCCAAAGUCUCUAGGUUCACGAGCAUGCCAAUGGAUUUUGGAAGUCUAGAACUUCUAAUUUUAAUCACCGCGGAUGCAAAAUAUUUCAAGUGGUUCAAGCUACCAAAAUCAUUAGGAAUAUUAAGCAAUUCCAUAUGAAUCAAAGCAAGCACCUUCAACCGCCUAUAUGCUCUAGGGAUUCUACUCACAAAGGAUUCAACUGAUGUUUGAGGUUCGAGAAUAAGCAAUGAUCGAAUACUUGAGCUUUCAAUAUCUUCCCUUAGAUUAUCAGAAUUGGAUGCUAUUGAUAGACGUCGAAUCAUUCCAGCAGACCAAUUUUUGCCCUUAAAAAUAUUCUUGCAAAAACUUAAAUCCUUAAAUUUGUCAAGGAUCAUUUCAUGCACUAGAUCAUGAACGCGGCAACUUUUUACUCUUCCAUCAAUACUAGUUGAAACUACUUGCACCAAACUUCUAUGGAUCAACUCUACUAAAUAUCCUUCUGCAACCUCUUCAAAUGUCCUUCCCCUGUCUUCUUUCACGAACCCUUCAGCAAUCCAUUGGCGAGUCAAUGUUUUUGAACGAACUAUAUAGUCUUCAGGAUAUAAUCCAAAAUACAAGAAACAUGACUUGAGGUAGCAUGGCAAAUCAUGGUAACUAAGUCCUAAAAUUUUUCUUAUCAUGGAAUAUUCCUCUAACUCUGCAUUUAUAUUUUCACUAAACUUCGACCAUUCUAUUGAAUUUCUAUCCGUGCGAGAUAGAAUAUCACCAAUGACUACAAUUGCUAGAGGUAAUCCUUUGCAUUUUUCGACAAUUUUGGAAGAUAUAUCAAUAAGAUAUUCAGGAAAAAUGCCGUCCAAGCCAUGGAGCGCCUUCUUUAGAAACAAUUCCAAAGAUUGUUUUUCAGAUAAACGUUCCAGAUUAUGCACUUUACCAAAAGAUUUAUUACAAGCAUUUGCAACAUCCUUUUUUCUUGUUGUGAUUAAUAUCCUACAACUAUUUUUGUUAUCAAUCAUAGCAAAUUCAAUAUCAGACCAAAAAUGUGACUCCCAUACAUCAUCAAACACUAAAACAUACCUUUUUCCUUGAAAGUGGUUUCUCACUUCAUCAACUAAUGACUUUCGAUCCAUUUGAUGGAGACUCUCAGGAGGAACUUCCCCUUGUUGUUUGUAAAACUCGAGCAUAAUGUCUCGCAACACUUUUUCUGUAUUGUAUGGUCGAGACACCGUAAUCCAUACACGACAAUCAAAGUAUUUUACGACCUUUGGGUUGUCAAAAACUUUCUUCGCUAGAGUGGUUUUUCCUUGUCCUCCCAUUCCAAAGAUGGAGACAAUUGUCCGGUCUGCUCUUCCCGCUACCAAAAGAUCAAUCAAUUCGUCUCUUGGCUUAUCAAAUCCUACAACAUCAGCUUCAACCAUGUAAAGUGGAGCGUCUCGAAGGUUCUGAAAUAGUGAGGCGUUUCUGUUUGUUGCAGAACUAGUUGAUGCUUUAUCCGAUGAAGAUUGGAUAUAGAAGCCAUGAUCUUUUUCAGUUCUUGUAUCAUUUAUUUCACUUAUUCGGGAUUUGAUGUUCUGAAUCUUGUAAGCUAUUUGGAGACGGAAAGCCAUAGUUUUGACACAGUUUGUAGCAACAGCAGCACAACCAGGAUCAGGAGCAUGUUGUUCCUCAAGAAAGAUAUAAUCAUCAAUGACAUCUUCAAUGUGAAAAGAUGCUUCUAUCAGCUGCUUGAUCAUGUCUUUGAUUUUCUUGUCUUCUACAUCAUCAGCCCUUCUAUCCGCAUCGUUGAUGAAGACUUCAAUUCUUUCAAGUUCAUCUUUCAAUUCUGCAAUUUCUUUUGGGACACCCCUAAUCAUGUUGAAUGCUUCCUUCAAGAAUGGAAGCAAAUGAUCACGGGCUAGUGGAAGCAAAUGAUCACGAGCGCAGGCAAGUGCAUCUUUACAGUCACACAUUUUGUUGUAUAUUUGAUUUUAAUUUGCUACUAGUAUUGUGAGUGAGAUUGAAUGGUGAGGAAAAAGCUAUUAGUCCUUUCGUGAUUUAUAUCGCAUAAAGUCCAACGGUGUGAACACUUAGAAUUUUUGAUUCCCUCUUGGUCAUUGUUUAAUAAUUUAUCCAGUACCUUGACAUCAUUUGUAAUUUUUUUUUUCUUUUUAAUAUUUGUCGUACAUGACCAAGUAAUUUAUUCAAUUAGUGGCAAUUAGCUGUAAUAAUAUAAAUUAAAUAAUAUUGCACAUCAAUGUUAGAUGUACAAAUUACCUACUCAUUUUUUUAUUAAUAGAAAAACGACUUUGUGCUACUAAUUGGUUAUUAUCUUGUGGGAAUAUAAACAAUAAGUCAUCCUAAAAUUAGAGAAUACGUUAAGGACAUCUAUAUUAGAGAUAUUCACUUUUGGAUAUUUGAGUGUCUCACCUGUACGGAUUUGAAUCCUCGUCAAUCUCCAAAUAAAACGAACUCUUAAAAAAACUGAUUUAUGCCAAACCUUCAACCAUAUAGGAUCCGAAGAACUAAACAAAUUAGACAUAAUCCCAUAUAUAUCUCUUUAACUGAGUACACAUUACGAGACUCCACUCCAUGAAAAUCGAUGUUGCAUGUAUUUUUCCACCAAAGAAAAACUAUACUCUAAUAGACUCUUUGUAACGCCAUAUUUCUAUUAAAGCAAUAAAACACGCGAAUAAUAUAAAUAUUGAAGAAAUAGACGCCACGUCAUCAACAAAAUCCAAACAACAGGCAUAUAUAAAUUUCUCAACAGUUGCAGCGGAUAUAAACCAUACACCUCAAAGUAUACAUGUCAUGAGAUCAAAAUACAUCAUCAUAAAAAUUCUCCAAAUCCCGACAAAUGGGUAAACGACAACGGAGAUAGCUCCCACUACUUAGGGUGAUCGUGGAAUCUAGGAGGAAAGGAUACCCCAUCACGGACUUCCUAUGAGAAAAUUGUAUCCCCUAAGCAAUCUGAAGCCCCCAAGGCACCUAAAGUUGUCAAAUAAAUCUAGAUAAUUCUCAUCUCUCUUAUAUGAAAUGAAGAAAAGAAUUUUCUCGGUUGAUUGAGUGCUAGGCUUAGAACCGGUUUCCUCAUAAUAUCUAUCUUAUACAGGAGUAAGAAAAAGGUUGGACUACACACACUCACUUGAAACUUGAUUGUUGGGUUGAAUAAAGAUUACAAGAAUUGCUUAAGUUUGUGAUUAGUGUACGCUUGAAAUAAAAGUCUUUGAGGAGGCAUAAGUUUUAAUUGAAUUGUCAUAUGAUAAUCUUGUUUUAUGCUACCAUGUUGAUGCCUUUUGCUUGAGCACAAGUAAAGAUUCAAGUGUAGGGGAGUUUGAUGAGUCAAUAAUUAUCUAUUUUAGUAUAAUAUUUAGUUUCGUUUUAAUUAGAUUUAAGGAACGAAUAUUUGAUGGAUUAAGUCUUAGAGCAAAAGAAAGGGGCUUUGGAGCUUCAAUUCUUUCAAGUUCAUCUUUCAAUUCUGCAAUUUCUUUUGGGACACCCCUAAUCAUGUUGAAUGCUUCCUUCAAGAGUGGAAGCAAUUUAUCACGAGCUAAGGAAAAUGCAGCGUCACACAUUUUAUCACACAUUUUGUUGUAUCUUUGAUUUUAAUUUGCUACUAGUAUUGUGAGUGAGAUGA
rnacentral:lncRNA from 1 species